UUUUACUUCUAUUUCCAGUUACAAAUGGAGAAGUUGAAAUGCGUAGGAACCUGACUGGCAUCUCAGAGGAGAUCUAGCUGGACUACCUCAGAGGGGAUCUGGUUAGGAUCCCGGCAUUCAGAAUACAGACACCAUAAUCCCGACACUGCCCGAAAUACCGACACAGGGAUCCCGACAUGGUUCGCAAUUUGGACAGUUGCCCUGUAUCAUGUUGAUGUUCACUAGGACACAGAUCUGAAUAGGUCAGAAAGAUGGAAAGAAAUGAAAAAAUUGGCAGUGGCUAUGUCGACAUGUGAUAAUCCACUUGGCCAGCUCACGGCGCGUCGUCAUGGCAACCGACCGGCCCAUGUACGUCACUUCCUGACCUGUGGUGACGCAGAGACCGGAAGUGUCGGACGGGGGAAGUCUGGAGCACCGCGAUGCACGCAGCUGUGAGUGAUACAAAAAAGGGGGGUUGAAUAUACCUACUUCAACUGGUACAAUUAGAGGUGUAGAUGGUUUACCAAGUUAUUCCCACCUCAUUGUCUGAGCAUCCGAUUUCUGUACCCCUGAAGAAGUACCAUUAAGGGACGAAACACGUUGGAUCAAUCUAUCUUUCUGCAUUUGUGUCACUCAGUGAAUCUAUGCCAACAAAGAAACUAAAUGUAAAACCGGAUAAAUCCAAAGACACAGCUUUGUGAAACCUUAUC